GAGUUUGAUCAUGGCUCAGAACGAACGCUGGCGGCGUGGAUAAGACAUGCAAGUCGAACGAGAAACUUACUUAGCUUGCUUUGAAAGUUUCUAGUGGCGGACGGGUGAGUAACACGUGAGUUACCUGCCCCGAAGUGGGGGAUAGCCUUCCGAAAGGGAGAUUAAUACCCCAUGUGAUCGCAAGAUUAAAGGCGGCCAUCUUUGAUGGCUGUCGCUUCGGGAUGGGCUCGCGGCCUAUCAGCUAGUUGGUGAGGUAACUGCUUACCAAGGCGAUGACGGGUAGCUGGUCUGAGAGGACGACCAGUCACACUGGAACUGAGACACGGUCCAGACACCUACGGGUGGCAGCAGUCGAGAAUCAUUCGCAAUGGGCGAAAGCCUGACGGUGCGACGCCGCGUGGAGGAUGAAGGCCCUAGGGUCGUAAACUCCUGUCAUCAGGGAGUAAUGGCUCACGUAGUAACUGCCGUGAGCAGUGAUAGUACCUGAAGAGGAAGGGACGGCAAACUUCGUGCCAGCAGCCGCGGUAAUACGAAGGUCUCAAGCGUUGUUCGGAUUUACUGGGCGUAAAGCGUCUGUAGGCGGAGUGGUAAGUCAGAUGUGAAAUCCCGGGGCUCAACCCCGGAACUGCAUCCGAUACUGCCACCCUAGAGGGUCGGAGGGGAGUCUGGAAUUCUCGGUGUAGCAG
rnacentral:rRNA from 1 species